CACAUACUGAUCUGGCAUGUAUACUACAUCGUUUCAGUCGGUUUCAGUGGUUUCGUGUGUACGCAGAUAUUUCUUAAGAUGAGGGGAAAAAAAAGAUUGGAUAGGGAAAGCUCUGGCUUCGUGUGGAUGUGGCCUGACUGAAUAUUUAAUAAUUUAUGAGAAAGAGGAUGUGAUGGGGUCGGGACAUGUGAGUUAACUAUAUAUCCAGUUUGCCAUGUUGUUAAAAAUGAUUCUCAUAUCAUUUCAGGUGCAUGCAAAGAGCACACGCAAGCAGAACUGCCACCGCACUUUUUUUUAAUGGACAUUUUGCGAUCUUCUUUCGUGUGGUCAGAUGGGGGUAAGUUAUUUACUUCGACAGUCUUGAAAUAUGUAAAGGAAAAUGGUGUAAUAGUAAUAUAAACACUGUGAAAUGAACCGCAAAAUGGCCGCUAAAUGAACAUGUCUCUUUCAGAGUGAAGGAGUUUACUGUACGGCAGUAAAGUGAGUUUAACGUUUGACAUUCGUUAGACAUUCGGUUUCAUACCCAUUAAACUCAAUGUGCAUUUCAUGUUUUCAGCCCAUACCAAUUUAGACACACAUAAACAAACACCCUUUUCAUAGCACAAGCCUUAAUUUUAAGAAAUAAAAUAUAUCUAUUAGCCUUAUUAAUAAAUUAAACAACUGAACUAUAUGACAUUAUUAUAUCAAACUAAUAUUUGAUGUAGUGGAUAUUAGAUAUUAAUAUUUAAGUAGUUAAAAUGUGCUCUAGGCCAGUGAUUCCCAAACACAUUCCUGGAGCCUCCCCAACACUGCAUGUUUUCCAUGUCUCCUUAAUCAAACACACCUGAUUCAGAUCAUCAGCUCAUUAGUCGAGACUCCAAGACCUGAAAUGGGAAAUGUCAAAAGUUCAGAACUGUGUAAACUACUUUGUUUUAUUUUUUAUUUUAGGUUAUCAAUGCAUACUUGACCCACCUCACUAAAAAACUAUGCAGGCAAGACAUAUGUUAUUGAUUCAGAAUGCAUUUUGGAAAGUCACUGCUUGUUCAAUGAAAAAGUAAAAGAAAAAAAGUAACAAACAAAUGUUUCAUUUUAUUGGAGAACUGGUGAACUGUUACAAUUUUUCAUGCAUCUCUACUGUAGAUGGAUCCAGAGGCAUGAUGUGCUUAUAUGGUCACUAAAUGAGAAUAACCGCUGGACACUCAUGGUGAUAUGUCCUAAAGAAUGGAAAAUGUUAUACCUUUGAAAACCAAAGAAGACUGGUUCACUGUAAACAGGCUGUAAGGUCAGGACAAAUAUGCCAUUCAUAUCCUCAUUUAUUAAUUGUUAGUCUGAUUAACUUGUAUUAACAUUUUGAAUAUUUUAAUCCAAACAAAGCAAAUUUAUAGCCACAAAAGGAAGACUCGGAAAAAUGGGAAUGUGGUACUUUACCACACCGUUUACAGCAGGAUGGCAAUUCAUGUGGAGUGUUUAUAUGUAAAUUUGCAGAAGCUGUCGUAUCAGGGGGUAGUUUGAUGUUUGACGACAUAGAUCUGAUUCACCAAGACAUAGUCCUGUGCCUGCUACAAGCAACAGGCGCUUAUA